GGUAGUCCACGCUGUAAACGAUGCUCACUAGAUGUGGGGGGUAUCGACCCCCUCCGCGUCGAAGCUAACGCGAUAAGUGAGCCGCCUGGGGACUACGGCCGCAAGGCUAAAACUCAAAGGAAUUGACGGGGGCCCGCACAAGCAGCGGAGCGUGUGGUUUAAUUCGAUGCAACGCGAAGAACCUUACCUGGGUUUGAACUUUCGGUGACAGCCCCAGAAAUGGGGUCUCCCUUCGGGGGCACCGGGAGAGGUGCUGCACGGCUGUCGUCAGCUCGUGCCGUGAGGUGUUGGGUUAAG
rnacentral:rRNA from 1 species